UGGGGAAUAUUGGACAAUGGGGGGAACCCUGAUCCAGCCAUGCCGCGUGUGUGAAGAAGGCCUUAUGGUUGUAAAGCACUUUAAGCGAGGAGGAGGGUACUGGUAUUAAUACUACCAGGUACUGGACGUUACUCGCAGAAUAAGCACCGGCUAACUCUGUGCCAGCAGCCGCGGUAAUACAGAGGGUGCGAGCGUUAAUCGGAUUUACUGGGCGUAAAGCGUGCGUAGGCGGCUAAUUGAGUCGGAUGUGAAAUCCCCGAGCUUAACUUGGGAAUUGUAUUCGAUACUGGUUAGCUAGAGUGUGGGAGAGGAUGGUAGUAUUCCAGGUGUGGCGGUGAAAUGCGUAGAGAUCUUGAGGAAUACCGAUGGCGAAGGCAGCCAUCUGGCCUAACACUGACGCUGAGGUACGAAAGCAUGGGGAGCAAACAGG
rnacentral:rRNA from 1 species